AAAAAAAUAUAACAAAUCAAGCCUGAAUUAUUCAAAGCUUGACUCAGCUCAUUUACACUCCUAUGCGCUACAAGACAUACGAUUAACCACCGGGCUACUAUCCUAAUGGUUGUAAAUUUAUAUAUUUUAAUAGUUUAUUGGCACACUCAUUAUGAGUAGGAGCGCAGGACCUUGAAGGUACAGUUUUAAAUAUGAAGUGGGGUUGUGAGUGAUUAGUACCUUGGUAAGAAGCUUUAGAAUUUAAAUAGGAAAAAAUAAAUAGUUUAUUAAAUUCAUUCUAGGUUAAGCUUCCAAAUAGCUCUCCUUCAAAAUUAAUCCAGUAUUCCAUAAGUUCUUUUCUUUUGCAUCAUCCUUGGAAUUCGGAAGAAACGAGAAUUAGCAAAAUAGCAUACCUCUUGCAGGAAUUGAACCCAG
rnacentral:misc_RNA from 1 species